UACAGGGGGGGCAAGCGUUGUUCGGAAUUACUGGGCGUAAAGGGCUCGUAGGCGGCCAACUAAGUCGGAUGUGAAAUCCCCAGGCUCAACCUGGGAACUGCAUCCGAUACUGGAUGGCUUGAGUUUGGGAGAGGGAUGCGGAAUUCCAGGUGUAGCGGUGAAAUGCGUAGAUAUCUGGAGGAACACCGGUGGCGAAGGCGGCAUCCUGGACCAACACUGACGCUGAGUGAGCGAAAGCCAGGGGAGCAAACGGG
rnacentral:rRNA from 1 species